AGAGUUUGAUCCUGGCUCAGAAUGAGCGCUGGCGGCGUGCCUAACACAUGCAAGUCGGAUGUGCCGCAAGGUGCAUGGCAGACGGGUGAGUAACGCGUGGGGAAUCUACCUCUUUGUGGGGAAUAACGCUCCGAAAGGAGUGGUAAUACCGCAUGAGAUCCAUGGCUGGGAUGCUGUGGAUGAAACCUGGGGACCGCAAGGCCUGGGGCAAGGAGAGGAUCCUGCGUCUGAUUAGCUAGUUGGUGAGGUAAUGGCCCACCAAGGCGACGAUCAGUAGCCGGCCUGAGAGGGUGAUCGGCCACACUGGAACUGAGACACGGUCCAGACUCCUACGGGAGGCAGCAGUGGGGAAUUUUGCGCAAUGGGCGAAAGCCUGACGCAGCAACGCCGCGUGGGUGAUGAAGGUCUUCGG
rnacentral:rRNA from 1 species